UACGUAGGGUGCGAGCGUUGUCCGGAAUUAUUGGGCGUAAAGCGUGCGUAGGCGGUCCCGCAAGUCCGCUGUGAAAGCCCCGAGCUUAACUUGGGAACUGCAGUGGAAACUAUGGGACUUGAAUCCGGCAGAGGGGGGUGGGAAUGCCACGUGUAGCAGUGAAAUGCGUAGAGAUGUGGCGGAACACCGAUGGCGAAGGCAGCCCCCUGGGCUGAGAUUGACGCUCAGGCACGAAAGCGUGGGGAGCAAACAGG
rnacentral:rRNA from 1 species